GCAGAUCAUCAGGCAGCCUCCUGUAGGGGGUCCUUAAAAACACGGAAGCAUGCCAGUGUUUACAGGCGAGUGGAAGAACACGUGUGUGUGUGUGUGUGUGUGUGUGAUGAUCAGCAGCAGCAGCAAAGAUUGCAGUCAUGGGAUUUGUGUGUGUGUGUGUGUGUGUGUGAGAGCAGCUGCGCUGAUCAGUGGCAGUAAGGACAGCUGUUAUAACAUGCUGCAGUGUGUGUCUGCUGGUCACUAUCAUGGCUCUCGCGAACCUCAUGCCUCACACACAUGGUGAAAUCUGACCAGUUACUGACCCCAACAACAGUAGUGUAUAUUGUGACAAAAGAUUUCUGUUUCAAGUAAAUGCUGCUCUCUUUUCAUCUGUGAAUCCUGAAAAAUAAAAUGUAUCACAGUUUCCACAAAAAUAUUGUGCAGCACAACUGUUUUCAACACUGAUAAUAAUCAGAAAUGUUUGUUGAGCAGUAAAUCAUCAUAUUAUUUAUUUUGAUUCCUGAAGAUCAUGUGACACUGAAGAUUGGAGGAAUGAUGCUGAAAAUACAGCGGAGCAUCACAGAAAUACAUUACACUUUGACUCAUUCGCACAGAAAACAGCUGUCCACCUGUCACUCAAGUGGUCUUAAUUAUGCAGAACUUUAAGGCUUAAUUUAAUUUAAAAGGAUGAGUUAUUCACCCCCUCACAGUUAAAAUUAACUAUAUAGAACAAUGAUUUCAAAAUUAACUAUAUAGAAAAAAAAACAUUUUUUUUUGCACCAGGCUGUAAACAUUUUUUUUUUUUUUUUCUGCUGUAAAGUUGGCCAUUUUAAAAUGGGAUUCUAUGGGACUGACUGCCUUUUGCAGCCAGCCUCAAGCGGCCAGUCGAUGAAUUACAAUCACUUCUGUAUGGGUUUCACGAGAGAGAGCAGGAGGUUGCCGCUAAAGACAAACAUUAAAAUCUGAUCAUUUCCCACAAACAGGUUCUUUUGGGCUGGUUUAGUUCACUAGUUUGUUUAUGUAAUCUAGGGCAGGACGAUAUGGCAAAGUUGUUUAUAUAUGUGUUUUUUUUUUUAAGUUGAAAAUGUAACUACAACAUGAUUCAAGUAACUUUUUUAACUCUCUAGUUUAGUGGUGCCCAACCCUGCUCCUGGCGAUCGACUGUCCUGCAAAGUUUGGCUCCAACCCUAAUCAAACACACCUGCCUUUAAUUUUUAAGUGAGCCCGAAGACCUUAAUUAGUUGCUUCAGGUGUGUUUGAUUAGGAUUGGAGC